AGGUGUCUGUAAGCCUGCCGCAUAUACUGUAAGCAGCGGCCAAUCCCUCAGUGACUCUCCUCACAUGAUACUCAUUUUCAAACAUGGUACUGCUCUUUGAAGAGGCAGAGCUAUAGGAAGCCUACAAAGAGAUAGAUGAACCCCGACUGGAGGGAGGAUGGGAGCUUUUCACUGACAUCCCGUGCAUUCAAAUCUACCGGCUACACAGCAAGAGAACAGGACUCUACAAAUACAAAAAUCAUUGGUGGUCUUGCCACCUGUACCCCAGAGCUCUGUGCAGAUGUGUAUAUCUAUUAAAACACAGCAAAGCAUGGGAUGGGGAUGUCAAAGUUUUCAUGAACUGCUUUGAUACUCCGGGUGGAUCGAUCCCCUCAUGGCUUAUAAACUGGGCUGCCAAGAGCGGAGUGCCUUCGAUCAUCACAGACCUACAGAAAGCCUGCAACAACUAUGCCAGCUACUGCAGGCAAGUGAAGACAUGACUUCAAAGUGGCAGGAGGGGCUGGGAAAGUUUUCCUUUAGACAAACAACCUGUGUGAAAAUCGUUUCAUUGCUUUACAACGCAGAGUGGGAUGGAAAUAAUUAACAGUCUAAAACCAGCAACCAACAACUUGCGUUUUAUAACCCUUCAAUUUAUUUAUUCUUCUCAGAAAAUUCGCCUUUAUACUUGCUUUGAAACAGAUUCCGCUGCCUGGUUUUUCCAUUCCUUAUCUUUCAGUGGCAUCUUUUGUAAUGCAAGACCCGGAUUAACCCUUUCAGUCCUGAAUUAUUUUUGUUGAAUUGAGGAAUGGGAAAUAAAAAAAAUAAAUAACUCCUUUUAGUGAGGUAUACACGAGAACAGGACAAAUCAUAUAUGUAUUUUUGACCUAUGUUAUGGUGAAUGGAACUUUAAAGUCGCAUCAUUUGCCUUUUAUCACUGUGAUACAGAAUCCUUGGUCACUUCUCAAGGCUUCUUUACUUCUCACAGGCUGUUGUAUUCUGGUUUGUCUUGUUGUUGCUAUAGAGAGAUCUUUUACAUGGGUCAAACUUGGAGUGGGGUCUUGACUCUACCUAGGAGUCCUGUGAGGUUCAAACGUGAUUUCCGACAGCAUAUGUUAACAUAAGGGUUAACGCAGAGAUAUGCUGUGUGGAUUAAUAUAAACUUUGAGCAGUUUGGUAUGGGUAUGAAAGAUCAGUUAUCUUAACUAAUAUUUUUUUCACAGUUAUUCACGACUUCCUGGAAAUUUACCCAUUGCUGCGUAAUAUGUAUUUCCCUGCGAAAAUGAUAAUUUUCGAUAGAAUAGUAUAAGUACUAAUGCAUUCUUCAUGUUUCGAUUCACUUUGCAUUUUCACAUCCUGGUGAGGCAUACAGCUGUUGGAAAACAUGGAUCGAGAAUUGAUUGGGAGGUGGACCAUCUAUACAGAAGGGUAUUUAAUGUCAUGCAAA